rnacentral:rRNA from 1 species
CCUACGGGUGGCAGCAGUGGGGAAUAUUGGGCAAUGGAGGCAACUCUUACCCAGCAAUGCCGCGUGAAUGAAGAAGGUCUUCGGAUUGUAAAGUUCUUUAAUUCGGGACGCAAAAAAUGACGGUACCCAAGGAAUAAGCCCCGUCUAACUACGUGCCAGCAGCCGCGGUACUACGUAGGGGGCAAGCGUUGUUCGGAAUGACUUGGCGUAAAGGGUGUGUAGGCUGUGUAGCAAGUUAGAAGGGUAAUACCUAGAGCUUAACUCAGGUGCUGCUUCUAAAACUGCUAUACUUGAGUGCAGUAGAGGAAAGUGGAAUUCGUGGUGUAGCGGUGGAAUGCGUAGAUAUUAGGAGGAACAUCAGUUGCGAAGGCGACUUUCUGGACUGUAACUGACGCUGAGGCACGAAAGUGUGGGGAGCAAACAGGAUUAGAUACCCGGGUAGUC